rnacentral:rRNA from 1 species
UACGAAGGGGGGCUAGCGUUGCUCGGAAUCACUGGGCGUAAAGCGCACGUAGGCGGACUCUUAAGUCAGGGGUGAAAUCCUGGAGCUCAACUCCAGAACUGCCUUUGAUACUGGGAGUCUUGAGUUCGGGAGAGGUGAGUGGAACUGCGAGUGUAGAGGUGAAAUUCGUAGAUAUUCGCAAGAACACCAGUGGCGAAGGCGGCUCACUGGCCCGAUACUGACGCUGAGGUGCGAAAGCGUGGGGAGCAAACA